rnacentral:lncRNA from 1 species
GGUGCUGGGAGUAGGGCGCAAGAUGUCGGCGGAUGCAGCUCCGAGGAGGUAGGCAGUGGGAGCCGGCGUUCAGUCCGGCCCGUGCCAACAGUGGUUCCUCUCUCCCCCGUAGUUCGAGGAGACCACGCGCUGCCCCUCUGGCACGAUCGUGGAUGAACCCCCUGGCAACUGAAAUGGGAAAGGCAGCGCCCCCGACUCUGGGGACUGGACCGAAGUCCACGGUAGUGACAGCUGCCAGACCCUGAGGAGAGGACGAGAAGACCCGAGGCCUCUGCUACGAACACUGGCAGCCGAUGGAAAAUUCAGACGGAUUUGGGACAGUAUGCAGAGUUCUCCAAGCGACAGAUUAACAGAGGCUCUUGAAGAAUAACUGCGUAAUCACGUGUUCUGCUCAAAAGAAGGCCUGAAUGCCCAGUGCCUUAUUUGGCUUUCAGGGUUGGUGAAAGAAAAAGCAAAGUAGAUGCUUUCUAAUGCUAAGUCAUUUAAUGUAGCACCAUUCCUUGAACUUCUUUCAUCUCUAAGGUCGUCCCUUUCACCUGAUGAUGACCUUUGGGCCAUCGUACAGGCAUGUGUAAACUUGGAGAUCUUCCUCAACAUUGCACCAUAUCUUGGGUUCAUUCAAGGCAGAGUCUCCUUGCAAAAGCAUUCUAAAACAAUGUAAAGUCGAAGAGAGUAGAGCAAUACCUCCAUAGUUGGAAAAUGUGGAGGAGGCCAAUUAAGGGACAGAAAAAGAAGUGCAGAGAAUCUUGGAAUUGUUGCAAAAUUAUUCUGGAGAUAUUUCUAAGUCUCCUCUAUCCUUUUCCUUAGUGAUUAAUACAGGUUUUUAUAUUAAGUGGACAGUAAAAUCCAAACAGAAAGAGUUUCCCCAUGUGUAUGCUGUGGUAUUGGAUCAGCAACGAGAUAAGAAGAUCUCUCCCAUUUCCAAGCGUCUAUGAUGAUUCUGAGGCACAAGGUCACAUUUGACAGUACUAGGAAACCCAGGAAACAAGAAGCAAAGAUGACAAAGGCUGUGUCUGCCUGGGCAGACGAUCUAUUUGGACAAGAUAAUAGACCCAGGCAUGGACAUGCUCUCCAAGAAAGAUGCCCUGACAGCUGCUCACACUGAAGCUGAAUCGAACAUUCCAAUCCUUAGAGGUUCCAGCGAAGAUCUUGAAGUCUCCCUGAGCCAUUGACACAAUGGCCAUGCCAUCCCAGUGAUAAAACACAAAUUGUGGCCUUGUUUUGGACAGAAAUAAAGAGCCCAGUUUGUUAGUGAUUUACUGAUAAUAACUGAAUCGAGUACUAAUACUUGGCGAUUUUAAAAGCCAUCAUGUUAAAAAGACCACCUGAUUCCCAGUGACCCUGCAGUGACUGGGUUUGGGCAGCUCGUCCCCUGCACCUGUUUGGGGCUGUGCCAGCCACUUCCAGUGAGAACAUCGCAUUAACUUGCGGUCGCAGACCUGGCUGGACCCCUUGAACCAAAUUCCUUUCUGACCUUAUCAGACCCCAAAUAAAAGAGCUCACCAGGCCCCUCAGCCUACGUGACCCACCUGCCCAGUGAAAAAAGUAGGGCCCUGUUCUGUUCUCUGAGGAUGGUCAGUGUGCUCUUUGAUGAAAACGGUUUCUAAGCUGAGGCCUGAGACCUAGAUCAUUGUUCUCACAGCGUGUGCUUGACCAGCCACACCAGAAGCACCCAGGCUGCUGGCUAAAAACACUGAUGCUGGGGCCCACCCUAGCCCCUGGGUAGGGGGUAGAGACCUAAGGUUUGGCAUUUUUACAAGCUCCUAGGGUGAUUCUUAGAUGCCCUGAUGAUUGAGAACCACUGCUCGAGCUUCUUAAAUGGCUGCUGAAGAAUGAUUCUUGCCAACCGUGACCAGUUCAGCAGCCUGCAGACAGAAACCUGUCACUUUGAUCAGGACGGAAAUGAAAGGAGGCAGAGCGCGCCUGCAUCGCAAUC